CAACUGACUUCUUGCUUAAUUUACUAUUGUCCAAUACGUGAGUCUAACCACUCAUACACCAUGCCAUGACAUUGGUUUUGUGGUAGAAAUGCAAAGAUAACCCCACCCCCUGCAUUACUGCUUUAUAUUACACAAUUACUACAUGAAUGUCUUCCUGCAUGUAUAAAAGUAAGUGCCAGGAAUCGGUAGGUACAGAUAUUUACAUAACCUGUGAAUCUCUGACCGCUCCGUUCGAGAGAAGCCUUUUGUCUUUGAUUUUGAGUCAGCGGAAAGGAUGAAGUGUAUUGCGGUCUUUCUUGUGUUGUCCAUGGUCCUUCUCAUGGCUGAACCUGGAGAGUGUUUCUGGGAAUGGAUUGCCGGCCAUGUGGUGAAUGGGAUGCGUGGAAUCAUUAAAGGUGGGGCGGAAGAUCAGCUGGACAAACGUUCAAUUGACUACAACCCAGGCCCCCCACCCCCGGGCCCCCCUAGUUUUCACUAAACUGAUGGGACCAUUCUAAAGUUAUGUUCUGGAUGAAAAUAAAUUCUGCUUCUUGCUCUUUCACAUACUAUGAGAAAGAAAAGUAUAUCAAUAUGUAUAUGCAGCAAUCUUUUUGAUCAACAUCAAUUCAUUUGGUAGAAUGUCGGCCCUUCUGAAUAAACUUGCAUUAAAAAACAUAAAAUAUU